rnacentral:lncRNA from 10 species
AAGAAGAUGAGCAAUGGGCUUAGUGUCAGUAGACUUCCCUUGAGGCCUGGGUCUUUCUACUUCUUAAGAAUGAACCUGUGCAGGGCUAUUUGCACUCUUUGAAACUCAAUUUCCUUAUGUGCAAAAUGGGCAUAAGUAGUCUUUUACUCACAAGUGAUUUGCAGGCAUACAACAGAAUAAAUAUGAGAGUGCUAUGUCUAUUGUAAAAACCUUAGGAAAAAUAGUGAAUAAGUCACAGAGUGCCAGUAAAUUUAUAAUUGUCUCAAUAGCAGAAGUAUCAGGCAGUGUCAUAUCCUGGUCCUCUCAUACCUUAGUCAUCUUGUUUAACACCAUCCUCAAUUUCUCCUUUUUACACCCAGCCUAGCCACCAUUCACCACAUCAGAAGCCAUGUGGGCUCUGUUUAAUAAUAAACUCCAAAAGUGUCACUUUUUUCCAUGAUCACUGCUAACACCCUAGUCCAAGCCACUGAUAACCAGAUGACUGCAUCAGCCUUGAUAACACAUUGCCCUGCUGUCACAGACACCCCUCUAGAGUCCACAUGCCACAGGGGCCAGCGUCAUCUUAUAAAACCUAGAUCCCAACACUCAUCGCUUUAAAAUCAGCUCUGCUCUCUAUUACGCUAACAAUGAAAAUCCAGACUCCUUGUGGUAGCCCUCAAUGGACAAGGAGACCCAGCUCUUACCUACCACUGCGUUUCAGGUCCAACACUCCAGCCUUGCAGGCACACAGAGCUUCUUCCGGCUCUUCCAUCACAGCCAGUCUCUCUGAGCCCUAGAGCCCAGGCACUCUGCCUGGAGUACCCCAACCUCAACUCUCCAUGAGAUGUUCCCUUCUUAGCAUUCAGGUCUCAGCUCAAAAGGCCCCUCUUCAUCAGGACCUGCCUAUCUCCUGGAUCUAAAUAAGAGACCCACACACACUUCACUCACACCUAUAAUACCUACUGACUGCAUGGCAUUUUUGCUACCUGGAAGUCUUUCUUGUUUAUUCACCUCUUUAUUCUUGUUUAUUCACCUCUUGCUUGUCUGUUGCCCUGGCAAAAUUUAGACUCCAUGAAAGAAGGCACCUAUGUGUCCUUUUCAACACUAGCAAGCAGAACAAAUCAUAGGUUUGCAAAGAAUAUAUGUUGGAUACAUUUUUAAAAGUGAAUUUCUCUUAUACUACUGCAGCCGCAACCAUACAAUCUUCUGCCUCUGUCUGUUGGCUUUCAAAUCCCCCUGCACUGCCCCAUUCAAGGUUCUACAGUGCACCACAAAAAUCAAGAAAACGAAGACAAAUCUCUUGCUCUGGAAUCCAGUACUCCCCAGAUCCCAGCCUGCAUCUGCCUCUGAAGCCUCCUUCCUCACUCUCUCCUGCUCACAAUCUUUCCUCCAGCCACACAGCUGCAAGCUUCUUAGGCUGCUCCUUUAGCCCGAACUAGCCCCUCCGUUUACACAAUAAUUUCUGUCCUACUCAUGCCUUGCUUUGCCCAGUUGUGCUUGAUGCUUGAAACCCUCUGUAACAACCCUGAACAGUAGAACUUUCUACUGGAUGAUAUAAAGUGUUAGAAGCACUGAUUUGUUAAGAAAAUUUCCAGAGUCACACAGCUAUAACUGGCAAAGCUGUACUUCAAACUUGGAAAGUCGACUUCUAGAAUCCAGAAGUUUAAGCCCUAGACCAGCGUUUUUCAAAGUGUGGUUCCCAGACCAGCAGCGGCGGUGUCACCUGGAACUUAUCACAAAGACAAGCUUCCGAGCCAACUUCAGACCUACUCAUUGGAAGCUCAAGGUGGGGUUAUGAUGGGAUCAGAUACCUGAGUGAUAACAAGCUUUUCAGAUGAGUUUAUGCAGGCUUGAGCUUGAGGAUCAUUGAUCUAUACUGUGUUACCUUCCCAAAUAACAAGAACACUCAAAAGCCUGUGUUUAAGUAUUGCACAUACCACUGAGUUAUGCUGUGAUCUCAUUUGCCUGUUUGGAAAAUGAAUUUAAUAAACUGUCCCAUUGAACUCAAAUUGAGUGUCAAGGGAGAUGCAGAAGGUAGGCCCCUCUAGAAGCACAACCACAAAAAUGAAACAAAUCGGUAGAAAUGUUCUAUUUCAAAGGCAUAAGACAUUGAGGUUUUGUCAGAGUGUGACCUUCACAGACACCUGACCAUUUAUCAGGGAAGACACUAUUUAAGUUUGGUUCUCAAAAUAAGGUAGAAGAGAUUCAAUGAGACAAAGUGUGAGAAGGCCCCUGAAGAGAGACUGGGCAAAUCCGAGGUGUGUAAGACUAGGGAGUCUGGGUAUGGUGGCCAGGGCACAGUGCAUGUGGGCAGAGCCUUGCCAUGCGUUCAGACAUAAACAGGGCCUCUGUGUCACACAGAGAACUUGGGAGGCUUUCGAAGGAUCUAAUAGGAUUAUAUGCCAAAUUGAGAUAUCAAAAUAUUUUCAGUUUAAUUUACACAUAUCGACCAGAAAAAUCUAACGGCAAUUUUUCUAAAAUGCCCAAUAGUUCCCCUAAAAAUCAAAUUCUUCCUUCAUGCUAAUGCAAGUAUUUACCUGUCAUUACUAAAAUCACAUAGAAUUGCAAAAUCUCUUUAAUAUCCAAGUGGCAAUUUUUAUUACCCCAAAGACAAAACGAUUUGAGAAAUUCUCAAUGAUGUGUGCUCUUAUUGCCUCUGCUAAGAAACUGAGCCAUGCUCAUAAUAAUUAAAUGACAAAUUGUCCUACCUGUUUGGCUCAUUGCAGCUCUUUGAAACUGCUCUUCAGAAAUCCCCUCCCUGUCUUCAGAGCUAAUACUUAUCCUGGGCGCCAUAGAGAGCAGUCACAGUGGCACAAAUGCACCAUUUAAGGCUUGGCCUAUCCUUAAUUCCACUGGUUUCCAAUAUUCUAACAUACUUACCUGUUUAUACCCUUUCUCCAUCCUUUAUAUGUAUUGUACGUAACUCUUUUCCUAACUAAAGUGUGAAUCCUGGGUACCACUCCUCCUGACUCACCAAACCCCAGUACUCCCCCAAAUCAGCUCUGAGAUCAUGUCCCUAAUACAAACCUUCAUUCUGUUUUCUGCUCUGAGCAUUAGUUAUCAAUCAUAAUUCCUUCCUGCAUUCAGGCAUUGGUUUUACAUUUUACCCUGUGCCCAUUCAUUAUUUCAUUCAACAAAUAAUUUGGAUCACAACUUACAGAUGCUUCCACAUUUCAGAUAAUCCUUAAAGACCAUACCAUCUCUAACACUCUAUAGUAAUAUGGACCUGGUAGACAGAAAUUCUGUUCUAUUUCUCACUCUGACAAUUACUAGUUGUAGGACUGAGCAAUGCAUUGCUUCUCUGUAGGUCUCAUCCUUUAUACACAUAACUUUGGCUCUUCCAUAAUGAAAGUUCAACUCUGUGAAUUGACUGCAUUCAUGAAGCAUUGCUGCCAAGGCUAAGAAUUCCACUUCUAUACAUCAGAUCCACAGGUUGACAAGCUAUCUGCAAUUCACAUUAGAGGAAAACAUUGCGCACUUUGCCUGUGAUUUGCACUUGUGACAUUUCCGGUGCUGUUCACUCACUCUCCAUCCAAACAGCAGCGUUGCCUCAUUCACAUUAAAUAAAUCAGAGGUAAAAGAAGAAAACAAGGGAAUUGUUCGGCAGAUGGCUCAGAUUCUUCAUCUGUAUCACUGCUGAUCCAGGAGAUGAACAUUUUUGCACCACAAGAUAAGUAUCAUAUUAUAUGCAAAUGGGACUUCAGAGAACAUAAACCACAGUAGGUUCUAAGACAUCAAGUGAAUUGUUUUUCUUUUCUAUUCUAUCU